rnacentral:misc_RNA from 1 species
AAGACAACAUGGGCUAACACAAUAGGGUGUAACCCUCCCCUUUCAUGAUUCUGACCUUAAAGGUGAAACUUCUAUCAUAUUGGUGAAUACUGAGACCCACCACACCCUUUAAAAGUUAUGGGGAGAAUAACCAAAGUACGUAUAAUUGGCGAUAACUGUUUUUCAAAACAAAAGGAAUAUUGAUCAGAUAUAUUGGCAUGGUCAACAAGAUAUAUGUGAAGCAAAAACUAGAAAAAGAAAAAGUAAGAGAAGGGAAUUUCAUUUCUAAGGCAGACAUAAAGUCUCAACAUUAACCCAUCUCUCACAAUGGCAUGGGGAUUAAAGGGUUAAAGAUGUAUAUGGUAUCUCUCACUUCUAGCAUAGUGGUUCCUGGCAAAGGAUAAGAACAAAUGUAUUAACAAUAAUCAAGAAUAUUUUACUCAGAGUGUUCCAUUUCCUACUCGUAGUUAUGACUUUUGACUACAAAAGGGAGUACACAAUACUUUUCAAUUAGACAUGCACCUUCAGUUUCUAAACAUUUUAGUUUAAGCAGGAUUCAACCAAAAUAUUUGAAAUGCACUUUUUACUUUCUGAAUGAAUUCUACAAAGGGAUAUUUCAUUUGAAGGCCAUGAGGCAAAAUAUGAUUACAAAACCAAAUGUAGACAGGUGCAAUUGCAUAUAGAGAAAUGUAAUGAUUCACAAAUGAAGUUAUGAUGAUUGUAAAUACGAGAAGUAGACAAAAUAAGAAAAAUGAUUU